rnacentral:lncRNA from 1 species
CUUGGUGGAGGAGGUGGUGGACUUGGCGGAGGUUUAUAGACAGGAACAUGUGGUGGACUUGGUGGUGAUGGGUUUGGUGGAGAAGGUGGUGGACUUGGCGAAGGUUUAUAGAUAGGAAUAUGUGGUGGACUUGGUGGAGUAGGUGGUGGGCUUGGUGAAGAAGGUGGAGGACUUGGCGGAGGUUUAUAAACGGGAGUAGGUGGUGGGCUUGGUGGAGAAGGUGGUGGACUUGGCGGAGGUUUAUAGAUGGGAGUAGGUGGUGGGCUUGGUGGAGGAGGUGGUGGACUUGGCGGAGGUUUAUAGAUUGGAAUAUGUGGUGGAGGUAGAGUAGGUGGUGGACUUGGCGGAGGUUUAUAGAUAGGAAUAUGUGGUGGAGUUGGUGGAGGAGGUGGUGGACUUGGCGGAGGUUUAUAAACGGGAGUAGGUGGUGGGCUUGGUGGAGUAGGUGGUGGACUUGGCGGAGGUUUAUAAACGGGAGUAGGUGGUGGACUUGGUGGAGUAGGUUGUGGGCUUGGUGGAGGUUUAUAGACAGGAAUAUGUGGUGGACUUGGUGGAGUCGGUGGUGGGUUUGGUGGAGAAGGUGGUGGACUUGGCGGAGGUUUAUAGAUGGGAGUAGGUGGUGGGCUUGGUGGAGGAGGUGGUGGACUUGGCGGAGGUUUAUAGACAGAAGUAGGUGGUGGACUUGGUGGAGGUUUAUAGAUAGGAGUGGGUGGUGAGCUAGGUGGAGGAGGUGGUUGACUUGGCGGGGGUUUAUAGAUGGGAGUAGGUGGUGGGCUUGGAGGAGUAGGUGGUGGACUUGGCGGGGGUUUAUAGAUGGGAGUAGGUGGUGGUGGGCUUGGUGGAGGAGGUGGAGGUGGUGGACUUGGCGGAGGUUUAUAGACGGGAGUAGGUGGUGAACUUGGAGGAGUAGGUGGUGGGCUUGGUGGAGGAGGUGGUGGACUUGGCGGAGGUUUAUAGACGGGAGUAGGUGGUGGACUUGGAGGAGGUUUAUAGAUGGGAGUAGGUGGUGGACUUGGAGGAGUAGGUGGUGGGCUUGGUGGAGGCUUAUAGACGGGAGUAGGUGGUGGGCUUGGUGGAGGAGGUGGUGGACUUGGCGGAGGUUUAUAGAUAGGAGUAGGUGGUGGACUUGGAGGAGGCUUAUAGACGGGAGGAGGUGGUGGACUUGGCGGAGGUUUAUAGAUGGGAGUAGGUGGUGGACUUGGCGGAGGUUUAUAGACGGGAGGAGGUGGUGGACUUGGUGGAGGUUUAUAGAUGGGAGUAGGUGGUGGGCUUGGUGGAGGAGGUGGUGGACUUGGCGGGGGUUUAUAGAUGGGAGUAGGUGGUGGGCUUGGUGGAGGAGGUGGAGGUGGUGGACUUGGCGGAGGUUUAUAGACGGGAGUAGGUGGUGAACUUGGUGGAGGUGGUAGACUUGACGGAGGUUUAUAAACCGGAGUAGGUGGUGGGCUUGGUGGAGGAGGUGGUGGACUUGGCGGAGGUUUAUAGACGGGAGUAGGUGGUGAACUUGGUGGAGGUGGUAGACUUGACGGAGGUUUAUAAACCGGAGUAGGUGGUGGGCUUGGUGGAGGAGGGGGUUGACUUGGCGGAGGUUUAUAGACGGGAGUAGGUGGUGGACUUGUCGGAGGUUUAUAGAUGGGAGUAGGUGGUGGACUUGGAGGAGUAGGUGGUGGGCUUGGUGGAGGAGGUGGUUGGCUUGGUGGAGGCUUAUAGACGGGAGUAGGUGGUGGGCUUGGUGGACUUGGCGGAGGUUUAUAGAUGGGAGUAGGUGGUGGACUUGGCGGAGGUUUAUAGAUGGGAGUAGGUGGUGGACUUGGAGGAGGUUUAUAGAUGGGAGUAGGUGGUGGACUUGGCGGAGGUUUAUAGACGGGAGGAGGUGGUGGACUUGGUGGAGGAGGUGGUGGACUUGGCGGAGGUUUAUAGCUAGGAGUAGGUGGUGGACUUGUAGGAGGAGGUGGUGGACUUGGCGGAGGUGUAUAGAUGGGAGGAGGUGGUGGACUUGGCGGAGGUUUAUAGAUGGGAGUAGGUGGUGGACUUGGUGGAGGAGGCGCCGGACUUGGUGGAGAUGGUGGUGGUUUCUGGUAAGUCGGAGGUGUUUGACCAGGUGGUGGAGAUUCAGGAGGAGCUUGGUCAUAAGCUGAACUUGGUACCACUUUCAAUAGUGAUCUCCUAUAGACCUUUGGUUGAGGGUAAUUUGCAUAAGGCACCUUCUGAGAGGGCCUAUAUGCUGGAUAAGUUUGCUUACGUACCUUAGGAGGUUUUCUCUGUGGACUUGAGGAAGUUCCAUCAAUGAACGAUGAAGGUUGUGAAG